rnacentral:rRNA from 1 species
GUACACGCUGUGACUAGCAUAUCAAUAAGCGGAGGAAAAGAAACUAACAAGGAUUCCCCUAGUAACGGCGAGUGAAGCGGGAAGAGCUCAAAUUUGAAAUCUUAAAGGGUUUCCCUUUACGAAUUGUAGUUUAAAGAAGUGUUUUCUGUUGAGGUUUUGGUAAAAGUUCUUUGGAAUAGGACAUCAUAGAGGGUGAGAAUCCCGUAUUUGACCUUUACUUUCAACUUUGUGAUACACUUUCAAAGAGUCGGAUUGUUUGGGAAUGCAGUCCAAAAUGGGUGGUAAAUUUCAUCUAAAGCUAAAUAUUGGCGAGAGACCGAUAGCGAACAAGUACCGUGAGGGAAAGAUGAAAAGAACUUUGAAAAGAGAGUUAAACAGUACGUGAAAUUGUCAAAAGGGAAGCGUUUGACACCAGUGUUGUUUUUCUGAAAAUCAAUUAAAGAACUGUUUAUGCUAAGUCUGUUUAGACUUUAUCAGCUAAUCUGUUUAGUUUUGAGCUUUUCUUUAAUGCACUUUUCAGUUAACAAGUCAACAUCAAUUUCUUUUGCUGUAAAAAAGCUUGAGGAAGGUGGCUUGAGAUUCGUCUUAAGUGUUUAUAGCCUCUUGCCUAUGCAGUCGGAGAGAUUGAGGUCUGCAGCGUAGAUCCUUCGGGGCUAAAUGCAUUUGUGCUAAGUUAUAGCAUUUUAUAGACAACUUGUUGACUAUGAUUUGUCUUGUAGCUUACUCGCUUAUGUUAUUUUACCUACGCUUAGGAUGUUGACGCGCGUGUGUGCGUG